rnacentral:rRNA from 1 species
AACGAACGCUGGCGGCAUGCCUAACACAUGCAAGUCGAACGAACUCUUCGGAGUUAGUGGCGCACGGGUGCGUAACGCGUGGGAACCUGCCCUUAGGUUCGGAAUAACUUCCCGAAAGGGAUGCUAAUACCGGAUAAUGUCUUCGGACCAAAGAUUUAUCGCCUUUGGAUGGGCCCGCGUAGGAUUAGCUUGUUGGUGGGGUAAUGGCCUACCAAGGCGACGAUCCUUAGCUGGUCUGAGAGGAUGAUCAGCCACACUGGGACUGAGACACGGCCCAGACUCCUACGGGAGGCAGCAGUGGGGAAUAUUGGACAAUGGGCGAAAGCCUGAUCCAGCAAUGCCGCGUGAGUGAUGAAGGCCUUAGGGUUGUAAAGCUCUUUUACCAGGGAUGAUAAUGACAGUACCUGGAGAAUAAGCUCCGGCUAACUCCGUGCCAGCAGCCGCGGUAAUACGGAGGGAGCUAGCGUUGUUCGGAAUUACUGGGCGUAAAGCGCACGUAGGCGGCGAUUCAAGUCAGAGGUGAAAGCCCGGGGCUCAACCCCGGAACUGCCUUUGAAACUAGAUUGCUAGAAUCCUGGAGAGGUUAGUGGAAUUCCGAGUGUAGAGGUGAAAUUCGUAGAUAUUCGGAAGAACACCAGUGGCGAAGGCGACUAACUGGACAGGUAUUGACGCUGAGGUGCGAAAGCGUGGGGAGCAAACAGG